CUCAGAGCGAACGCUGGCGGCAGGCCUAACACAUGCAAGUCGAACGGACCCUUCGGGGUUAGUGGCGGACGGGUGAGUAACACGUGGGAACGUGCCUUUAGGUUCGGAAUAGCUCCUGGAAACGGGUGGUAAUGCCGAAUGUGCCCUUCGGGGGAAAGAUUUAUCGCCUUUAGAGCGGCCCGCGUCUGAUUAGCUAGUUGGUGAGGUAAUGGCUCACCAAGGCGACGAUCAGUAGCUGGUCUGAGAGGAUGACCAGCCACAUUGGGACUGAGACACGGCCCAAACUCCUACGGGAGGCAGCAGUGGGGAAUCUUGCGCAAUGGGCGAAAGCCUGACGCAGCCAUGCCGCGUGAAUGAUGAAGGUCUUAGGAUUGUAAAAUUCUUCACCGGGGACGAUAAGACGGA
rnacentral:rRNA from 1 species